CUCGUAGGCGGUUCGUCGCGUCCGGUGUGAAAGUCCAUCGCUUAACGGUGGAUCCGCGCCGGGUACGGGCGGGCUUGAGUGCGGUAGGGGAGACUGGAAUUCCCGGUGUAACGGUGGAAUGUGUAGAUAUCGGGAGGAACACCAGUGGCGAAGGCGGCCUGCUGGACAUUAACUGACGCUGAGGAGCGAAAGCGUGGGGAGCAAACA
rnacentral:rRNA from 1 species